GAACCGCCUCCCACUAGCUGAGGCCACUGGGGCAAGUAACAACCCAUCGGAACCAUUACAGGUGGACCUACAGCCUGUCUGCGGAACAUCAUGCCAAAAACCCCACCUAUCAACCAGUCUAGGACUUGCCAUCCUGAAUGGUCAGAACAGAAUGGAGCAGCUAUUCCUGGACACUCUGGGGAAUCGAAGAACUGUGCAGGUGAAGCUCCAAGACAUCCAGGGCCACCUGGAUGGCCUGCAGAAACAACAGGACUGCUUACUGCAAGCCCUGAACGAUUGUCGUGACAGCCAUAACGUUCUGGAUGUGUGUAAGUUGCAGAAGCAAAUGGAAGCCAUCUUUUCCCACCAGCAAGUGCUACAGACAUCAGUGCAGCAGAUCCUGGCAAUACUGGGCCUGGAAGAGAGCCGGCCAUAAGGAACUGUGUUGUCCCCCAUCUGUUCAUUCUCCCAACCCACCUUGUCUCCACUACCAAUCCUUCUACACCUUGCACACUCCCCCUCUCCAAUUGAAACAGAGGUUUUUUGUUUUGUUUUUUUAAAUACAGUUCCUUUUGAGGUGGGUUUGGUUUUCCAGACCUAGCUUUGUAUCAUCAGGCUUACCUAUUGGCUUGUACUAAAUUCUGGUCCUUUUCUGCUCCCUCUGAACUGCCAUCAUGGUCAGUUCUGGAAACCUUAUGGUUAGAACCUCUUCCCAAAUGGAUAGCACUCGGUUCUCGCCAUACCAAAAUAAGCAACCCCCCUCUUACAAUUUUGUCUGCUAGAGAGACGUGGCGUAUAAUAUCACGUCAAUUACAGUUUGAUCCAUUCUCUCAUGCAAAAUUGACUAUAUGGGGAAAUCCAGAUUUAAGAACUGAAAGGAAAGCAUUUCUGUGGAGGACAUGGACGGAUAAGAUGAUUUUUACUCUGGAUCAACUAAUAGGCUCAGACGAUGAGUUUUUGCCUUUUUCAGACUUGUGUGUUAAAUAUAAUUUAUCUGCUAUGGCCCAGUGGCAAUACUUGCAACACCUGCUGGAAUCUAGGUUUGGUCCAGUUGCUUUUACAGCUUCGGAGCCUCCAGCACUGUUAGAAACACUUAAAACAGCUGAACUGACACGUUGAUCCACAACGCACAUAUAUAAGUAUUUAGUAGCAGUAAGUAAUAUGAUACCCAUGUUGGAUCCUGGAAUGGAUCAGUUUUACUUUAUUCCUGAGCUUUAGCAUGCCCACUGACUGAAGACAUGAAGAAAUAUUUUUAAAUGUCAAGGCCACCAUCUGGACAAUGUAAAUAAUUUAUUAAAUCAACCUCUAUGUCAGUAAAAGCUCUGUUUUAAAACUUAA